rnacentral:rRNA from 1 species
AGUCAAUAGAUACCCCGGUAGUCCUAGCCGUAAACGAUACUCGCUAGGUGUCGGCCACGGUGCGACCGUUGUCGGUGCCGUAGGGAAAGCCGUGAAGCGAGCCACCUGGGAAGUACGGCCGCAAGGCUGAAACUUAAAGGAAUUGGCGGGGGAGCACCACAACGGGUGGAGCUUGCGGUUUAAUUGGAUUCAACGCCGGAAAUCUUACCGGGACCGACAGCAACAUGAAGGCCAGGCUGAAGACUUUGCCGGAUUAGCUGAGAGGUGGUGCAUGGCCGUCGUCAGUUCGUACUGUGAAAGCAUCCUGUUAAGUCAGGCAACGAGCGAGACCCACGCCCACAGUUGCCAGCGUACUCUCCGGAGUGGCGGGUACACUGUGGGGACCGCCGCUGCUAAAGCGGAGGAAGGAAUGGGCAACGGUAGGUCAGUAUGCCCCGAAUAUCCCGGGCUACACGCGAGCUACAAUGGUUGGUACAAUGGGUAUCUACCCCGAAAGGGGAUGGAAAUCUCCUAAAGCCAAUCUUAGUUCGGAUUGAGGGCUGCAACUCGCCCUC